rnacentral:rRNA from 1 species
UACAGAGGUCUCGAGCGUUGUUCGGAUUCAUUGGGCGUAAAGGGUGCGUAGGUGGUGGGGUAAGUCGGAUGUGAAAUCCCGGGGCCCAACCCUGGAACUGCAUUCGAUACUGCCUUACUUGAGUACUGGAGAGGAGAUUGGAAUUUACGGUGUAGCAGUGAAAUGCGUAGAUAUCGUAAGGAAGACCAGUGGCGAAGGCGGAUCUCUGGACAGUUACUGACACUGAGGCACGAAGGCCAGGGGAGCAAACGGG